rnacentral:rRNA from 1 species
GCAAGGUUGAAACUCAAAGGAAUUGACGGGGGCCCGCACAAGCGGUGGAGCAUGUGGUUUAAUUCGAAGCAACGCGAAGAACCUUACCAGGUCUUGACAUCCUUUGACCACUCUAGAGAUAGAGCUUCCCCUUCGGGGGCAAAGUGACAGGUGGUGCAUGGUUGUCGUCAGCUCGUGUCGUGAGAUGUUGGGUUAAGUCCCGCAACGAGCGCAACCCUUAUUGUUAGUUGCCAUCAUUUAGUUGGGCACUCUAGCAAGACUGCCGGUGACAAACCGGAGGAAGGUGGGGAUGACGUCAAAUCAUCAUGCCCCUUAUGACCUGGGCUACACACGUGCUACAAUGGGAAGUACAACGAGUCGCGAAGUCGUGAGGCUAAGCUAAUCUCUUAAAGCUUCUCUCAGUUCGGAUUGUAGGCUGCAACUCGCCUACAUGAAGCCGGAAUCGCUAGUAAUCGCGGAUCAGCACGCCGCGGUGAAUACGUUCCCGGGCCUUGUACACACCGCCCGUCACACCACGAGAGUUUGUAACACCCGAAGUCGGUGAGGUAACCUUUUUGGAGCCAGCCGCCUAAGGUGGGAUAGAUGAUUGGGGUGAAGUCGUAACAAGGUAGCCGUAUCGGAAGGUGCGGCUGGAUCACCUCCUU